GCGGCAUUUGGAAAGAAGUGUACGUAAAAUUUCUCUUACUUAAUUUAGCCUGCCUUGCCAUCUAGAAUCUGUAGAGUUGCGAAAUCUUUAAUUGAAAUGUCUACAAAACUUUGUGAAUCACGUACUCAUACUCGUUGACGUUGUUCUUCUCGUAUUCGAUAGACGUCUCGUCAUCGUCCCGUUACUACUGUACUACUGUUAUACCAUUUUUUCACCGUUUCAUUUAUCAUCCUUUCUACGUUUGAACGAUUAAAUUUACAUAACAUCUUAUGCUGAUUCCAUUGCAAACAACACCGUGUCAUCAGCAAGCUGAGCAAUACGCACCUCUUCAAUUCCGGUAUUAUUCCGGCUUGGUACUGGUAUUCCCUUGUAAUGGAUGUCGUUUCUUAUAUUACAAGCCAUUACUUCAGUAGUGAUCAGGAUAAAUAAUAGUGCAGACAGCGGACAACCUUGUCUUAUUCCACUUUUCAUCUUAAAGCUCUUCGAUAUCCAUCCAUUAUUAACAAUAAUGCACUCGGUGUUAUUAUACAGUGUUUUCACCCAUUUACAAAAUGACUCCAAAAUUCAAUUUUCUUAAUAAACUUAACAUAAAUUCUCUACUCACUGAGUCAAACGCUUUUCUGAAGUCAAGGGACAAAAUGGCACCGUCUAUUCCUUCUCUUCAGUAUAAUAAAGAAUAUCAUUGAUUGGACGAAUAUUUUCACCAGAGAAUGACCUUUAAUAUAACCUUUUUGGUCAUCGUUUACAAGGAGUGAAAUUACUUUCUGGAGUCUUGAACAUAGGAUGUGCGUUAAAAUUUUGUAGUCUGUAUUGAGUAGGGUGAUAGGCCUCAAAUUUUCUAGCAAUUGUUUGUCACCUUUUUUAUAUAUUAGAUUAAUUACACCACGUUGUUGCGUGUUGCUCAUUUCGUUUUUAAAAUAACUAUAAGUUAUUGCGCUACAAACACAUUGUUUAAUGUCUUCCCAAAAAUAUUUAUAGAACUCUGCUGUUAAACCAUCACACCCUGGGGCUUUAUUUAAUUUCAUUUUUCGUAUUGCUGUAUCGCACUCUUGUAAAGUAAUAGUACCCGCACAGAACAUUUUUUCUUCUUCUAUUAGACAAGGUAUAUCUGUUUUGUUUAGAUAGGUAUUUAUAUCGCUAAGGGGAAUCCCCUUAUUUUCAUAAAGCUGUUCAUAAAAGCUAACCUCUUCUUGAAGGAUGUCUUUUGAGUUUGUUAUUACUCCACCAUUUAAUUUUUGUAAACUUUUAAUAAAUUUUUUAUUUCCAUUA